UCCAUAAGGUUGUAACCACUCCCUAGUGUAAAUUUUUAAAAAGUAUUCAGUGUAAAUCUGUCUUUUAGUAGCCUGGUGACAUAUUUGGUGACCUGUCAAUAUAAUGUCAGUUCAUUCAUGUAUUCGCGACACAUGAUUACGUUCGACUUCACUGCAAUUCUUGCACUCCUGCACAGGUUAUUUCAUAAUUAUCAUUGUAACUUGUCGCAAUAUUGUAAAAACUGAUAAACAAUUUUCAAUAAAAGCAGGAUGACCUGAGUCUUCAUGGUAAUUAUAAUACAAGAGCAACGAUAAAUAGAAACGUGUUUUAUCUUUCAUCUGUAGAAAGAAUGCCACCUGCUGUAAUUUAGACUUGCAGUCGAUACGUUUACGAAUUACGAUAAAAUGAACCCAAAAAUAUUGUGGUCACGAAUGAAAUCAAAUAUUGGGCUGGUAAAAAAACAAGAUGGGGAAUAACUGAGAUAUUCAAAAUUUGUUUAAAUUAUUGUACAUGAGUAUACGUGAUAAUUAUAUGUGUGGCUAACUAUGAUAUGACUCGAAAGAUCAGCUCUCUUGACUGAAAUGAUCAAUCUCGCGAGCAACACCAAAAUUGUCUAUAAUGGGUAGAUCACCUUAAUUAGUUGCAAUGGAAUUUUUCAUCAAAAAAAUGGGACACCAACAAGUCUUUAAUGUUAUGUUUAAUAACUCUAAUAUUUGGUACUACUUGUUAUUUACAAAAUGUACAAGGAAUUUGGUUGAAGGCGAUAGGUCUGGCUAUGCUCCUCCGUCCUGACGAUUUUAGUGGUAGUAAUGAACAAAAUGUAACUUCUCAAAAUUCAGAGGCUAAAAUAAUAGGUAUGUUGAAAAUAAUUUGACGGCUUAUUUAAACUUACUGUUACAGGAGUGGUUAGAAACAUUGGGAACACAUAGACCAAAUAACCAAAAAGCAAUUAUUUUUCUGUUGUUAACUUUCUUAAAUCUGAAUCCCAUGGAUUUUAAUACUCAACGUAAAGUAUUUAAACUUGCUGUAUAUUCUGGAUGUUCUUUCGCAAAAAUAAACAAAUCCUGAAGAGUAAAAAACUCA